GACGAACGCUGGCGGCGUGCUUAACACAUGCAAGUCGAACGGAAAGGCCCUGCUUUUGUGGGUUGCCGGAGGGGCAAACGGGUGAGUAACCGGUGAGUAACUUGCCUUGGCCUUUGGGUAACCUUCAGGAACCUGGGGUAAUUACCGGUUGGGGCUCCCUCCUGCUGGGUGGGGGUGGAAAGGUUUCGGCGGUUGGGGAUGGACUCGCGGCUUAUCAGCUUGUUGGUGGGGUAGUGGCUUACCAAGGCUUUGACGGGUAGCCGGCCUGAGAGGGUGACCGGCCACAUUGGGACUGAGAUACGGCCCAGACUCCUACGGGAGGCAGCAGUGGGGAAUAUUGCACAAUGGGCGGAAGCCUGAUGCAGCAACGCCGCGUGCGGGAUGACGGCCUUCGGGUUGUAAACCGCUUUCGCCUGUGACGAAGCGUGAGUGACGGUAAUGGGUAAAGAAGCACCGGCUAACUACGUG
rnacentral:rRNA from 1 species